rnacentral:lncRNA from 1 species
GUUCCCUGUGACACAAGAAGUUUGCUGGAGUCCUUUAAUUAACAGUACAAAAUCAGCAUGAAUAUGAACUAGAAAGACAGAGCCAGGAUAUUUUGCAUCAUGCACUGAGUGAUGCUGGAAGCAAAGGAGCUCUUCUGGGCUUCUCCUCAUGGCUAAAGGCAAAGCACUGCAGAGACUCCUUCAGCAAGUCAUUAGGUGAGGCUACACCUUUUGUCAGUGAUUCUCCACCUGCCUUCCCUGGUGUUUAAUCUGUUGUGAGCUGCCUGGAGAGGAAAAGGUGGUGAGACUUCAGUGAGCAGUCGAUGAAAGAAUGAAGACUAUCACUCUUCAGGGCCAAAGGAAGCACAGCUGAAGAAAUAAUCUACUUUCAACUGUAUAGAAACAGGUGUUUUGUGAUCCAGCACUGUACCAGCGUGAAAGCAAAAAGAAAACAACAAACUGCUCACAGGAGAUGGCAGGAACUCCCAGCAGGGAGGAAAGAGGUGUAAGCACACGGUGUCAGCCUCGUGCUUCUCUUCCCGGGUCCAAUGGGGACUGAAGCAAGCACAGGCAAUGCUGAUGCACUGGAGAAUUCAGCUCCCACGCACCGGAAGGUUUGGAAGCAUCAAGCUCUAUUUUAAGUGUGUGCUGUUUUGUUAGCAUAC